rnacentral:rRNA from 1 species
UACGUAGGUGGCAAGCGUUGUCCGGAUUUACUGGGCGUAAAGAGCGCGCAGGCGGUCGUUCAAGUCGCGUGUGAAAGCCCCCGGCUCAACUGGGGAGGGUCAUUCGAUACUGAUCGACUCGAAGGCAGGAGAGGGUAGUGGAAUUCCCGGUGUAGUGGUGAAAUGCGUAGAUAUCGGGAGGAACACCAGUGGCGAAGGCGGCUCACUGGCCCGGUACUGACACUGAGGUGCGAAAGCGUGGGGAGCAAACAGG